AGCAGUCGCCACGGUAAAACGUAGGUCCCGAGCGUUGUCCGGAAUUAUUGGGCGUAAAGGGAGCGCAGGCGGACAUAUAAGUCCAUCUUAAAGGUGCGGGGCUCAACCCCGUGAGGGGAUGGAAACUGUAUGCCUUGAGUGCAGGAGAGGAAAGCGGAAUUCCCAGUGUAGCGGUGAAGUGCGUAGAUAUUGGGAGGAACACCAGUGGCGAAGGCGGCUUUCUGGACUGUAACUGACGCUGAGGCUCGAAAGCCAGGGAAGCGAACGGGAUUAGAGACCCCAGUAGUCCCUGUCUCUUAUACA
rnacentral:rRNA from 1 species